UGGGGAAUAUUGCACAAUGGGGGAAACCCUGAUGCAGCGACGCCGCGUGGAGGAAGAAGGUCUUCGGAUUGUAAACUCCUGUUGUUAGGGACGAUAAUGACGGUACCUAACAAGGAAGUGACGGCUAACUACGUGCCAGCAGCCGCGGUAAAACGUAGGUCACAAGCGUUGUCCGGAAUUACUGGGUGUAAAGGGAGCGCAGGCGGGAAGAUAAGUUGGAAGUGAAAUCUACGGGCUCAACUCGUAAACUGCUUUCAAAACUAUCUUUCUUGAGUGGUGCAGAGGUAGGCGGAAUUCCCGGUGUAGCGGUGGAAUGCGUAGAUAUCGGGAGGAACACCAGUGGCGAAGGCGGCCUACUGGGCACGUAACUGACGCUGAGGCUCGAAAGUGUGGGUAGCAAACAGGAUUAGAUACCCUCGU
rnacentral:rRNA from 1 species